rnacentral:rRNA from 1 species
GAUGAACGCUGGCGGCGUGCCUAAUACAUGCAAGUAGAACGCUGAAGGAGGAGCUUGCUCUUCUGGAUGAGUUGCGAACGGGUGAGUAACGCGUAGGUAACCUGCCUGGUAGCGGGGGAUAACUAUUGGAAACGAUAGCUAAUACCGCAUGACAACAGUUAUUGCAUGAUAACUGUUUAAAAGGGGCAACUGCUCCACUACCAGAUGGACCUGCGUUGUAUUAGCUAGUUGGUGAGGUAACGGCUCACCAAGGCGACGAUACAUAGCCGACCUGAGGGGGUGAUCGGCCACACUGGGACUGAGACACGGCCCAGACUCCUACGGGAGGCAGCAGUAGGGAAUCUUCGGCAAUGGACGGAAGUCUGACCGAGCAACGCCGCGUGAGUGAAGAAGGUUUUCGGAUCGUAAAGCUCUGUUGUAAGAGAAGAACGAGUGUGAGAGUGGAAAGUUCACACUGUGACGGUAUCUUACCAGAAAGGGACGGCUAACUACGU